rnacentral:rRNA from 1 species
GACGAACGCUGGCGGCGUGCUUAACACAUGCAAGUCGAACGGUGAAGCUCCAGCUUGCUGGAGUGGAUCAGUGGCGAACGGGUGAGUAACACGUGAGCAACCUGCCCCUGACUCUGGAAUAAGCGCUGGAAACGGCGUCUAAUACUGGAUACGAGAAGGGUCCGCAUGGGCACUUUCUGGAAAGUUUUUCGGUUGGGGAUGGGCUCGCGGCCUAUCAGCUUGUUGGUGAGGUAAUGGCUCACCAAGGCGACGACGGGUAGCCGGCCUGAGAGGGCGACCGGCCACACUGGGACUGAGACACGGCCCAGACUCCUACGGGAGGCAGCAGUGGGGAAUAUUGCACAAUGGGCGAAAGCCUGAUGCAGCGACGCCGCGUGAGGGAUGACGGCCUUCGGGUUGUAAACCUCUUUCAGCAGGGAAGAAGCGAAAGUGACGGUACCUGCAGAAGAAGCACCGGCUAACUCCGUG